CCUACGGGAGGCAGCAGUGGGGAAUCUUGCGCAAUGGCCGAGAGGCUGACGCAGCGACGCCGCGUGGGGGAUGAAGCAUUUCGGUGUGUAAACCCCUGUUGCUCGGGACGAACGACCCUUUUCGAGGGGUGUGACGGUACCGAGUGAGGAAGCACCGGCUAACUCCGUGCCAGCAGCCGCGGUAAUACGGAGGGUGCGAGCGUUGUCCGGAAUCACUGGGCGUAAAGGGCGCGUAGGUGGUUGGAUGCGCCGGUGGUGAAAGCGCAGGGCUCAACCCUGCGUCGGCCAUCGGGACGGUCCGACUGGAGCACUGUAGAGGCAGGUGGAAUUCCGGGUGUAGCGGUGGAAUGCGUAGAGAUCCGGAAGAACACCGGUGGCGAAGGCGGCCUGCUGGGCAGUUGCUGACACUGAGGCGCGACAGCGUGGGGAGCAAACAGGAUUAGAUACCCUGGUAGUCCACGCCGUAAACGAUGGGCACUAGGUGCUUGGGGGAGNGACCCCCUGAGUGCGACGCUACGCAUAAGUGCCCGCCGCGGGGAGGUACGACCGGACCGAAGGUUAAGGUAAACGUACGUUAAAGUUAGUAAGUUAGUUACGGCGUUGAGACGUGCCGACGGACGACGACGAGGGAGGAGG
rnacentral:rRNA from 1 species